UACGGGGGGGGCAAGCGUUGUUCGGAAUUACUGGGCGUAAAGGGCUUGUAGGCGGCCAACUAAGUCAGACGUGAAAUCCCUCGGCUCAACUGAGGAACUGCACGGGAAACUGCCUGGCUUGAGUUCGGGAGAGGGAAGCGGAAUUCCGGGUGUAGCGGUGAAAUGCGUAGAUAUCCGGAGGAACACCGAUGGCGAAGGCGGCUUCCUGGACCGACACUGACGCUGAGGCGCGAAAGCUAGGGGAGCAAACGGG
rnacentral:rRNA from 1 species